CAAAUACAUAUAUAAUGGUCGAUUUAGCAAUUAUAAUUAAUGAAAAAAUUGAAGAAAAGAGAAGAUUGAAGAGAAAUCUUUAAUGCGAGAGAGUCUUUAUAAUUAAGAGAAAGUGGUUAUUUUUAUAUCAAAACUUAUGUAUAUUUCAGUGGAUAAACGGAUGCUAAUGUUUAUAAAGCGCGACCCAGGAGAGUCUGAAUCACACAUGUUUGUGGAAUUCGCGCAAACUCGAGGUGCGUGAAUGGGUGCGUGCGCGUGACAGGAAUUAGGAGGUCAGUGUCAUUGGCGCUCGAAACGUUUAACGCAACAUCGGACACGACAAAUGUAUGCGCAUACCAAGAUCGAAAACUCGACGUCGAACAUGUCGGUUUACACUCCACCGUCCACUUCGCGCACGCAUACAGGCACGCCACAACAUUCUGCGUACGGAUCCAGUUUGGAAUCGAAUUACGGUAGAAUGAUCACCGACGUAAAUAAUAGCGUGAUAAUGACAUCGACCGUUGAGGGAUAUGCUAAUAAGGCACGGCGGGGAGAGAUUAAGGGUGUAGUAGCCGAUGGAGGAAGGGGAGGAGGGACGAGGGAAAGGGAGAUGCAGGCCAAUGCAUCGCCGGUUGUGAAAUACGAGAAAAUAAAGUGAGGCGAUCUGCGAUGGAGAUCCGUAUAUCGCGAUGAUCGAAAGAAUUCGCACGCCGUUAAGUCGUCCUACAAGAGGAAGAGGAAGAGGAAGAGGAGGAGGAGGAAGAGGAGGAAGAGGA